UACGUAGGCAGCAAGCGUUGUUCGGAGUUACUGGGCGUAAAGGGUGCGUAGGCGGUCCUAUAAGUAUGGUGUGAAAUCUCCCGGCUUAACUGGGAGGGUGCGCUAUAGACUGUGGGACUAGAGUGUGGGAGAGGAAAGUGGAAUUCCUGGUGUAGCGGUGAAAUGCGUAGAUAUCGGGAGGAACACCUGUGGCGAAAGCGGCUCACUGGACCACAACUGACGCUGAGGCGCGAAAGCUAGGGGAGCAAACAGG
rnacentral:rRNA from 1 species